AGAGGAGCAUUCAUCUAAAGGCCCAGUAUGAUGCAAAAUACUUAUAAGUUCCUGCAAAACUAUUGGAGGCAGAGAAGAGGAGAGAGAGGAUCAAGAAAAGACUCAACAGAGAAACAGGUACCAAUAAAAUCGAAAGCCAAAAAACUGACUGCUGACUACAACAAUAACAACAAAAAGAUUAUGACAAAGGGACUGAGAGAAGACACGAGUAUUGUGUUACAGGAGUGUGAGUUACUUGAAAUAAUUCAUAUGGAGUAAAGCAGAGACUUCAAAAUCAAUAUGGGCAGAUUGCAGCACACUGAUCCUUUGAAAUGCCUUCUGUCCAUGGCUUUUUAAGCCUUUUAAACUCCUGUGCAGAAUGGGGAGAGCUUGCCAGCAGAAGAGAAAACAUUAGAGGUGAAUAAAACAUUCGGGGCUAUUUCCCCUUGCUCGUUCUUGGAUGUGAUUGCUCCAUUUGUAAAUGACUGAGCUAUUUAACUCCAACCACAAGGACCCUAGAAAUUAGAAUCUAGAGUGGAGAGACCCACCACCCAGAAGAAAGAUGUUUGUGGCUGAUGAAUUCUGAUGGUGGUACACCUCAUCCCCAGAGCCCCACUGUUUCCAUUUCUUCCAGAAGCUUGAAUUUACCAGACUCAAAUGAUAGCAAAGUUUAACAGCCUGGGAAAGUGGCUGGAGUUGAAUUCAGGCUCCACUACUUGAUUUCUUGGAUCAGCUCAGUUACCCCUGUGAGCCUCAAGAUCCUUAACUAAAAGUGAACAAUACCAUCUAUGUGCUGGCUAAAUGAUGGGGCUUUAAUGAACUAAUAGGUGACGUUCAUCAGCCAUAGAGACGUUCAUCGAUAUUCCGGUUCUCUUCUAGGUAAGAUUGAACUUUCUCACCCCUUUUGGAGUGAGAGUGGUGGCCAAGUGACUGACUUCGGCCAGUGAAGUGUGAGCAGAACGGACACAUGUCACUUCUGGGAGAGAGCCCUUCAGAGCCAGUGUUAGAGGCCCCAUCUCAUUGUCUGCUUCAGCAGCACCAGAGUCCUGGAGGGUGGCCUCUCAAUCUCCCAGGGCCCCAGAGUGAAUGUGACAUGCUGCUGAGCCCCCAGCUGACCUGCAAUAAACCUUUGUUGUUUUAAGCCACUGAUAUGUUUUGGGGCUGCUUGUAUCACCACAGAAGCUAGCCUGCCUGGAAUCGCAUGUAAGGUACUUAACACAUAGUGACCUGUCAGUUUGGAUGAGAGGUGAGCACAUGGGGGUAAUUCAUUUACUCAUUCAACAAAAAUUUGCUCAUCACCAUCUGUAUGCCACACACAGUGUAUCUCUUGGUGAGGGGGCAGAUUGAGUUCCUGACUUUACGGAGUUCACAGUUUUGCUGAGUCUGCUGCCAUUCCAAAACUGAGGAAUGCAACUCGAAAGGCUUCUCAUCCCUGAAGGACAGGAAAUGCUCUGAAGCUGGGCUGGCCAGAACUUUGUUUGUUUUUAUGUUCUCACUAAUUCCUGUCCCCCAGCCCCCACUUCACUUACAUUCAAAAACUCUCCAUGCAAGGACAGAAGGGCAAAGAAUAAUUAUCCCUGAGCAAGAACCAAAGAUCUGAUGGGUAUAGGGGAAGUAACCUGGUCGGUGCUGGUUCUGGGUACCCUAAAGGUGUGAUUCUAGCCUGGCAAUGGCACUGUUAUUGAUGCCUCUGCUCUGAGUUCCCUGACCCAGUAUGUCAAUACCGUAUGCAACACAAUGGCCCUCCUAUACGGAAAUCUAUAUAAGUUUCCUAUAGUUCACCCAUACAAAUGUACAUCCUGUCUAGCCCCUGCUAUCCUACUAGACUGAAAUAAAACCAAAUGUUUUCCAUUAUGACAUACCAUCCACCUGCUCUAGGUGCGCUAGACCCACCUGACCUUCAGUCUUAGGACAGCUUUCUGAAGAAGCCAAGAAGCAAUAAAUUAAAGGGCUAUUUAUUUCACUCCCUUCCUGGAAACAAAUGGUAUUUGGUGAAGCCUGGUGAUAAUCCACACUGGGUCCCUGGCAGAGGUCGGCAGAGGGUCUGAGCUCUAGUAUAGAGGUUCACUCUACAGAGGUGGGAAAGCAGAGAGGUCCCGGUUGCAUUUUUCCCAUUGCCACAUGAGAAGGAGUGUUGGUGGUGUUGGACUUUGAAAGUCAAGGCAGAACAUCCUUUCAUGUUGAAUCCAGCAGGAGAAACCUGGGCUAGGCAGGCAUAGAAACGCCCCAGCCCUGGCUGCUACCUAGCAGAGUGCUCUGGGGCUUCCAUGUUUUCUUCUUGGCCCCUAAUAAAGAUAGAAGGAAGAACUCUAAGGGAGUUGGUGAUUAGCUCCUUCUUCAUGCCCAGGAGAAUUCUGAAAUGAAAUAUGUAUUCUUGGUGUAGCUUUAAGCAAGGUUGAUGAUGUGGGACAAAAACAAGCCACAAAACAUCGACUUGGGAUUCACACUGCUUCAGGGUGAGUCCUGGCCUUGCCACUUACAAGAUACGUGGUCUAGAAUCAUUUGAUCUCUCUAAACCUCAGUUUUCUUACCUGUAAAAUGGUAAUAUUGACACCUAUUUUAUAGAUGGUGUUCAAAUAAUUAAGUGAUGUGAUAUAUUUUAAGCAUUUAGCAAUGUUUGGGGCAGAGAGGAUUUUUAAUAUGUGUUUGUGCUUUUUCCUUUGUCCUUCUAAAGCAGGUACAACUAAGCACUUGUUUUUGCCCUUGUAUCUCUGUAAAGAACAUCAGAAAGCAUCUUUGUGUGUUAUGCAUUUAACAUACAUCAUAUUUUUUUAUCCUCCCAAUAAUUUUAUGACUAAGUACUACAAUUAUGCUCAUCUUUUAAAGAAACUGAGAUUCAAAGAGAUUAAGCAACUUGAUUAAUGAUAACAAAGAUAGUACUUGUCACAGGUAAGACUUGCAUUCUAGUCAUUAAACCCAGAGCCCCUUUUCUUUUUCGUACUUGCUUUUUCUUUAAAAUUUGCAUGGAUCCUGACUUUGUAGUGGCCAGAGAUCAAGCUGCGUUCUCUCUGCCCCUGCCUACAAAUAUUCCUGUUUCCACUUCCAUUAGAAAUACCUUGACCUAAGGUCAACACUAGACAUGUUGAGCCUUUACUGAGGAAGGGGGAAUAGUUGUUAGGUUGAGUGUGACCCCCGUAUUCUGUAGGACUGGGACACCAUAAUUUAAUCCUGGUAGGGUCUCAGACAGGCAAUAAAAAAUAAAAAAUAAUGUAUGUCUGUUGUCUUUCUACCCCUCACCCCCAAACCUCAUCCCCAUCCCAGGGAUGCACACCUGCAUAGAAUGCACCCAUCCUUGCAAGGUCACCUCUGGGUGUCUGGGUUUCUCUACUGAAGGUCAUCGCUUGUCUCAAGUUCUGAAGACUGGAAGUCCAAGAUCAAGGUGCCAUCAGUGAUCAGUUCCGUGACUCCUGCCAGAGAAAUACAACACCAGAGAAGCUCUUGGUGCCUUCUUUGAUGGUUAUCCUGUUUGAAGAUAUCAUUUGAUUAUUGGGCUUUCAAAAAUGUGGCUCUCAUAAAUGACCAGAAUCCUAACCUUCUGUAAUGUGAAGAUGGGUUUUGAAGCUGAAAAAUGAAAUUUGAUCCCACUGAAGAAGUCAGGUAUGUCCUCGG